rnacentral:rRNA from 1 species
UACGUAGGGGGCUAGCGUUGUCCGGAAUCAUUGGGCGUAAAGCGCGCGUAGGCGGCCCGGUAAGUCCGCUGUAAAAGUCCAGGGCUCAACCCUGGAACGCCGGUGGAUACUGUCGGGCUAGAGUCCGGAAGAGGCGAGUGGAAUUCCUGGUGUAGCGGUGGAAUGCGCAGAUAUCAGGAGGAACACCGAUGGCGAAGGCAGCUCGCUGGGACGUUACUGACGCUGAGACGCGAAAGCGUGGGGAGCAAACAGG